UACGGAGGGGGCUAGCGUUGUUCGGAAUUACUGGGCGUAAAGCGCACGUAGGCGGCUUUGUAAGUCAGAGGUGAAAGCCUGGAGCUUAACUCCAGAACUGCCUUUGAGACUGCAUCGCUUGAAUCCAGGAGAGGUGAGUGGAAUUCCGAGUGUAGAGGUGAGAUUCGUAGAUAUUCGGAAGAACACCAGUGGCGAAGGCGGCUCACUGGACUGGUAUUGACGCUGAGGUGCGAGAGCGUGGGGAGCAAACAGG
rnacentral:rRNA from 1 species